rnacentral:rRNA from 1 species
GAAACACUCCUUUCCAUUCCGAACAGGAAAGUUAAGCUCUACAGCGCCAAUGGUACUGCAUGGGAGACUGUGUGGGAGAGUAGGACGUUGCCAGGU